GAAGACAUUUAGGAAGUUUCAAUAAUAAUAGCCCUUCCCUGAAACUCAGCUGCCUUUGUAAAGCUAAUGAGAGACCACCAGGCUAGCGGGAGGAGAGGAGCCUGAAUUCUGCUAAGGUGUAGACUGGUCACAAGAUAUGUAACUUCCCUAUUACUCCUGCAGAUAACAUCACUAUUUUGGAUUGGCUUUUUGAAAUAUUUUUUCAGGUUUUUUGCAUGUCUGACACCAAUGGCUCCACCUGGACCCGAUGGCUCCGCCUGGACCUGCCAAACUCCUCCUAUGGUUCCACCCAGGAACAACUCAGCUCAAGAAGACAGUUUCAACCACCUAUGAUUUCAUCUCCAUCUCAACCAAUCAGCAAUAGUCACAUAGACACUUUACUUACUCCAAGAACAGCCAUCUCCAGGUCAAGAUUAUAGAGUAACACAUGUUUUCUUCUUUUACUAUUUUUCCUCGGUUGUACCUUUGAGUAAUUAAGACAAUUGGAUUUUAUUUUGGAUGUGAGUAUGGGGCAGGGGUUUAACUUUAUUAUUUUCUAAAUUUUUAGCCAGCUUUUUUUCCUCACUUCAUUUAUUAAACAAUUCAUCUUUUCCCCAUGGAUUUACAAAUUUGCCUUCUAAAUCUUAAAUCCCAAUAUACACGUGGGUUCAUUUUUGGUACUUCUGUUCUAUUAAUGCUUGUGUAUUUUGCAGCUAGUAACACCCUAUUUCAAAUACUAGAGCCUUAGAACAUUUUUGUAUGUGAUUUGUAAACUUCUAUUUCCUACUCUGUAAAGUAAAAUGUCUCAGCUAGUCUCACAGUUUUCCAAAUGUACGUCAGAAUCAUUUUGUCAAUUUUCAAAAUAAUCCAUUGAGAUUUCAGUGAGAUUAGCUAUUACUUGAUGAGGGCUGAUAUCAUUAACACAGUGAGACUUACUUUUGGCUACAUGGCAUGUUUCUAUAUUUAUUUCCAUUUUAAAUGUAUCUCAAUAAAAC
rnacentral:lncRNA from 10 species